AAGUAGCAAUACUUAGUGGCAGACGGGUGAGUAACAUGUGGGUAUCUGCCCUUUGGCCUGGAAUAACACGAGGAAACUUGUGCUAAUACCGGAUAAGUCUUUACGGAGAAAGCUUUAUGCACCAUUGGAUGAGCCCGCACUUGAUUAGUUUGUUGGUGGGGUAAUGGCCUACCAAGAUUGUGAUCAAUAGCUGAUUUGAGAGGAUGAUCAGCCACAUUGGGACUGAGACACGGCCCAAACUCCUACGGGAGGCAGCAGUGGGGAAUCUUGCACAAUGGAGGAAACUCUGAUGCAGCGAUGCCGCGUGAGUGAAGAAGGCCCUUGGGUUGUAAAGCUCUUUCGUCGGGGAAGAAAAUGACUGUACCCGAAUAAGAAGGUCCGGCUAACUUCGUGCCAGCAGCCGCGGUAAUACGAAGGGACCUAGCGUAGUUCGGAAUUACUGGGCUUAAAGAGUUCGUAGGUGGUUGAAAAAGUUAGUGGUGAAAUCCCAGAGCUUAACUCUGGAACUGCCAUUAAAACUUUUCAGCUAGAGUAUGAUAGAGGAAAGCAGAAUUUCUA
rnacentral:rRNA from 1 species